rnacentral:rRNA from 1 species
UACGUAGGCAGCAAGCGUUGUUCGGAAUUACUGGGCGUAAAGAGUGUGUAGGCGGUGCUCCAAGUCUGGUGUGAAAUCUCCCGGCUCAACUGGGAGGGUGCAUUAGAAACUGGAAUGCUAGAGGAUGGGAGAGGUAAGCGGAAUUCCUGGUGUAGCGGUGAAAAUGCGUAGAUAUCAGGAGGAACACCUGUGGUGUAGACAGCUUACUGGACCAUUUUCUGACGCUGAGACACGAAAAGCGUGGGGUAGCAAAACAGG